rnacentral:rRNA from 1 species
AUUGAACGCUGGCGGCAUGCCUAAUACAUGCAAGUCGAGCGAGCGGCGGACGGGUGAGUAAUGUAUGGGGACUGCCGGAUAGCGGGGGAUCACUACUGGAAACCGUAGCUAAUACCGUAUACUAUCGGAUUACCCAUAUGGUAGUAGCUAGUAGGUGAGGUAAUGGCUCACCUAGGCGACGAUCCAUAGCUGGUCUGAGAGGAUGAUCAGCCACACUGGGACUGAGACACGGCCCAGACUCCGACGGAGGCAGCAGUAGGGAAUAUUGCGCAAUGGGCGCAAGCCUGACGCAGCCAUGCCGCGUGUGUGAAGAAGGCCCUAGGAUUGUAAAGUACUGUCAGUCGGGAAGCGUUACCGACAGAGAAAGCAACGGCUAACUACGUGCCAGCAGCCGCGGUAAUUC